AAUACAUGUUUAAUCUUAUCAGGUGGUGAAAGGUCUGGAGAGCUGGUAGGCCAGUUCAUCAAAUUCAUGACUGAUGCUGUUGAAAUCAGAAGAGAAUACAUCGCCAAAGGUCUUUGCGUGUACCUGAAUGAAGAUCCUGAGAAGCUGGUGAAGGAUUACCUGGAAGUUGAUAACAAGCAUCGCCACUGCCAUAGCAGAGACAGUCUUUGGAAUCUGUGUCAUUC